AUUGAACGCUGGCGGCAUGCCUUACACAUGCAAGUCGAACGGUAACAGGUCUUCGGAUGCUGACGAGUGGCGAACGGGCGAGUAAUACAUCGGAACGUGCCUAGUAGUGGGGGAUAACUACUCGAAAGAGUGGCUAAUACCGCAUGAGAUCUACGGAUGAAAGCAGGGGAUCGCAAGACCUUGUGCUACUAGAGCGGCCGAUGGCAGAUUAGGUAGUUGGUGGGAUAAAAGCUUACUAAGCCGACGAUCUGUAGCUGGUCUGAGAGGACGAUCAGCCCCACUGGGACUGAGACACGGGCCAGACUCCUACGGGAGGCAGCAGUGGGGAAUUUUGGACAAUGGGCGAAGGCCUGAUCCAGCAAUGCCGCGUGCAGGAUGAAGGCCUUCGGGUCGUAAACUGCUUUUGUACGGAACGAAAAGCCCCGGGUUAAUACCCUGGGGUCAUGACGGUACCGUAAGAAUAAGCACCGGCUAACUACGUGCCAGCAGCCGCCGUAA
rnacentral:rRNA from 1 species